UACUUUAUAUACCAUGAGAGUUACCAACAACCAUCUGGCCACAGCUUCUUGCAGCUGCCUUCUUUGCGGAGAUCUUAAACAUGGUCCAUUCAGACUUUAUGUCCCUGACCUUGAGCUCUUCUCGAGGUUAGAGUACAACUCAUUGUGAACAAAAGCCUCUGCUAAUCUUUACCAGCAAACAUUAAGUACAUCUUCAAGUUUUCCAGGUGUGAUGCCCAGGAUAAUGUGAUAUGAGAAGAACAUUUGAGCAACACACUUAACAAGAUGAAAAACCAUCUCAACACACAAUGAACUGAAAAGGAAAAUACAACUCGGCAGCCAUAUUGAGACAGGCAUG